rnacentral:tRNA from 1 species
GGUUUAAACCCCUCCUCUACUA